UUUCCUCCCUCUCUCUCUCUCUCGUUCUGUCCCUCCCAUUUUGCUACCUCUUUGUCUCCGUCUUUCCUAGCCUUCCUUUGCAUGUCCUCCAGUCCAUGCCCAUGUGUAUUUCCUGUUUGAAGAAAGAGACGUCUCAAGGUCUCCGCUCUCCGUCUGGCAUGGCGUGCACCGGGGCUUUGCCUGUAAACUGGAAACAGGUCCUGAUGGGAAGGCUAGGCCGUAGAGAGAGGGGUUUUCGGCAGUGCAGUGGCACAUGCUGUCAACUUGUAAACAUGUCAGGCGUUUCCAGGAAAACUGAAAGACAUUAGAAGUACUCAUGCUGUCAUGAUGAGAAACAGACCAUAUUUUUGGACUAGUUAGGAGGCAAACUGACUAGGGGAAUAACAGGACAUUUCAGAUGUAUCUGAAGCAUCCAGGUCAAAUAUUUUGGACUUCUGAGUUCACAGUCUUAUGCACCACGUCAGGUCAGUAUGAUAGUCUCAGGGCCAGACAUUUAUCAUGGUAGGAAUCUGACCCUGAUCUGGAUUGAGCAACACAGGUUUUAGGAUCUCUACCAAACUAGGGCUGGAUGGUUCUACUUGCAUCCAUAGUUUGCUGUGAUUUAUCUGACUAUGACAACAUCUAUGACAACAUCUAAAAAGCUCUGUAAAAUUAGAGUGAAUGUCACUCUUACGUAAGGUUCCUGAAUCACCCUGAUCAGCUCAAAUGGUAUCAUUAUCCCCAGUGUCAUCAUGGCUGCCUCCAUUACUGCUCAUUUGUACAGAGGCCUGUAAUCGCAAAUCAUGUGUUUUGAGAGGCCAAGACGGAGUUAAGCAAUUCGGAAUUCUUGAGUGGCAUGUUUAAAACUGUGACCCUGCACUGACUAAACAGACAGAGAUGUGCGAGAAGCCUACUAUUCCCACGUGUCUCUGGUUUACGCUGAUUGCAGGCCUGUGAGUCGACGGCAGAGCUUAGGAGCAGUGACAAGCCUGUUGGCACGCCAACGUGUUUUAGAAACCCUGGGGCUGUUCUCAUUAUGUGCAAAGGGAUAAUUAAUGUAAUUAUCGAGUUGUGUUUUUUUUUCUCCUUUCGGUCUUGUUUUUUUUUUUUUUUUUUUUCAAACACGCGUUGCUCGCUAACUCUUUCCCUCUUUGUGUCUUUUGCUUUUUUCUUUCUUUCUCUCUUUUUUGACCGUCCUGCUCUGGGCAGAAUGAUGAUGGAAAGGCUGUGUGUCUGCCAAGGGGAAGUGAUGUCAUUGCUUUGACAACAGGACAGCCAAUCAGGAGUGAGAGGACGGGAAACGCUGAGCACCUCAGCCGCAUGAAACUCAGAGCAUGGGACCGAGCAGCCUCAGGCCUCAGCAGCCUCCAGGAGUCGAGGGGUGACUGGGAAGGCCAUUUCACUCGGGCCCCGCUGGCCGUGACCACAGCUGAGGGUGGGGGGGGUGUGCGCCGGAUAACGUGGGCGUUCCGGAGCACUCCACGAACUCCUUCACAACUGAACAUUCUGUAAAGACAGCGAAGCCAAGAGAAAGAAAGAGGAAGAGAGAGCUGAGAUGAGGGAUGAAGAGGAGGAGGAGGUGGGGAAGGAGAGGAAUGGGGCGGGGGUAACAUCUCCCCUUGCGUCUCCAUAAAGUUGUUUAACAGCACCUCAACGGCGACGUUCUCCGCCAAGCCCUGGCUCAAGGCACACUGUUCCGCUCUCCUGACGAUUUGAGUCAAUCUUUAAAAAUGAGCUCCGCUCCACUUUAAGCUUUCCCCGUGGCGUCACACGUGAUUUUCACCGCCUGCAUAGGAGGACUGGGGAGGGGAGGGGAUUUGCAGUUGCAGAGGAGAGAAAAAAAAAAACAUUAAAAUGUCCCAUAGUUAUCUGUGGGGAAUCGUGUAACAGGGCCGUCACAAAUCACACGCUAAUGUCUCCCAAGCUCAGUAUCUCUUUUCCUCUUUCAUGGCCCAUGGAGGAACUUUUUAAAUAGAAAUAGAAGUGUACACACACACACACACACACACUCAAACACACACACACACUAGAAACACUCAUACAGAAACACAUAUUUCUACACACAAGAAUGCAGGCAAACACACCAGACAGAUAACACACACACACACACACACACACACACACACACACACACACACGCACACACAUAAAUGCCUACUUUCAUCCACUAUCCACUCAUUUCACCCUUUUCCCCAAUGAAGUGAAAGCCUCUAACUUUAUCCUGCCGUUUUAUCAGUCAGCCCAGACCCAGCGGCUGCUGCGGUGGACCUGUGCCAAAGCUGGGCCAGACCCGUGGCCCAGUUAGCCGUCCUUGGAGGAGAUACAGUAUCCUCCGCCGUCUGCCCCUCUCCCCUCGCUGGGGGACCCUGAGCCACAUCCUCUGGGCCGGCCAGGCCUCCCCGAUGCUGCACAUGAGAGGGGAAGACGGUCGAGAGAUGAGACUGCUGGGCCCCCGCUGUGAUUUACGGCCUGACCGAACGGCCUGUCUGGGCAGGAGGAGGGGGCCUGCCCUGUGUGUUGCCAUGGUGCUGGUUGCCGUGGAGUCUGCUUCUCAUCUAAGGCGGCCGCGGCUUCUGCUCUGCUUCAGGCUUCGGCUUCCAGAUGUGAGGCCUCUCCCUCCCUCCCAGGUCCAAGCCUCCAGGCCCCUUGACUCUCCACCAUAACUCCUCAGGCCCGUCCUUGCAGCUGCAGUUCAGAGUCCAACCCUUGUGACUGACCCCGGGUCAGCCUUUAACCCAAACUCUGGCCUUAGGCCACACUGGGCUCUGCUUCCAAAGGAUCUGACCCACAUCCAGGUCACGUUCUGACUCGGCUCUAGCUGAUGGCUUGUCCAGCCUCGACGGUUUCCCCUUGACCCCACUGGUACACUGCUAAUGCCAGUCCCAUUCCUCAGGAUCCAGGUGCAGGCGAAGCAGUUGAACCCUCUCACCUAGCACUGCCACUCGGAUAGGUAGCAGUGUUGCACAAACAAAUAGUGUGAUUGUGAUUGGAGCCAAAAGCAAGUCUCAUAGAACUCACAUAUUUCAAUGGCCACAACAUGUUCGAUAUGCAUAAAGCUUAAGGUAUGAUAAAGCUCCUUGUCCACUUUAACAAUCCCCCAUCAUACGGUUACCCUAUGUCAACGUGUGAGUAUAAAUCCAUAUAAGAAACUCCCAUACUAGCUCCAAAUCUAAAAAAUAGCUUGUUAGCAUUCAGGUCCAGACCAAUCUUUAUUUAUUUAUCUAAGAUUGCUUAAUUAGCGUGAUGGUUCAAACACACACAAACACACUAUAAUUUCCAUCACAUUCACAUACUCCCACAUUCAAAGUACUAACUACUAACAUUUACUAGCAAUUAUUGUCUGAAAAGUUCCUUCCAGAGAAUAGAGCGUUAAAACUGACUCUGAUGUUAGUAUGUGAAUUGUUCUAAAGUUAUUCAAGACACACACACAUACACACACACACACACACACCAAGUCCCACGCACUCUUGCACCAAACAACCCAGCCUGAGUAAAGUUACAUGGGCGCACUGGCCGGUUUUGAUUUAUGCGAAGCGAACCACAUUUGAUAUUCAUUUCCGCAACUGUGGCCAGCUAAAAAAACAACCGCAAAUAGAAGCCUACCUACAAAGGAACAGUGUGGCAUUCCAUGCGUGAGUCAUUCCUAUUUUAGCAAUGUUUUUCCCUUGUUUAAUAUUCGGCAGAUGUGCGUGAUUUGACAGAUGUAAUUAUUAAAAACACCUUUUGCCUGA